CUUUUCGGGGCAGGGUGAAAUUCCCUACCGGCGGUACAGCCCGCGAACCGAGCCGCAUGGCCCGGCCGACCUGGUGCGAUUCCAGGGCCGACAGUAUAGUCUGGAUGUGAGAAGAG
rnacentral:ncRNA from 1 species